rnacentral:lncRNA from 1 species
GCCGCCGACUUCCUAUGACCGAUUAGGAGCCGAAGAUGCCAAUGUCGAGCCGAGUGUGGGUCAUGGUUUGCCCACGUCAACGAGUCAGGUGUUCGCCAUGUCAUCGGAGAGUGAAAUGUCAUCAGGUGGACCAAAUAUAGUUCAACACUUAUCCCUGCUUUCUGGUCCAAAGUGGUUACUUUAGGCUACAGAAGUAGUAGCCCAUAAGAUAAGAGUUUUCAAUGCUUGAUCGAGCGGAGAAAUCCAAAUUGCUUAUCC